rnacentral:rRNA from 1 species
UAGUGAGUUUGAUCCUGGCUCAGGACGAACGCUGGCGGCGUGCCUAAUACAUGCAAGUCGAGCGCAGGAAACCGUCUGAACCCCUUCGGGGGGACGACGGCGGAAUGAGCGGCGGACGGGUGAGUAACACGUAAAGAACCUGCCCAUAGGUCUGGGAUAACCACGAGAAAUCGGGGCUAAUACCGGAUGUGUCAUCGGACCGCAUGGUCCACUGAUGAAAGGCGCUCCGGCGUCGCCCAUGGAUGGCUUUGCGGUGCAUUAGCUAG